GAUGAAGAACGUAGCGAAAUGCGAUACUUGGUGUGAAUUGCAGAAUCCCGUGAACCAUCGAGUCUUUGAACGCAAGUUGCGCCCGAAGCCACUAGGCCGAGGGCACGCCUGCCUGGGCGUCACACGCCGUUGCCCCCCCAUCUACUCCUUCGGGAUUGCGGGGGGGCGGAUGAUGGCCUCCCGUGCGCCUAGCCGCGCGGUUGGCAUAAAUACCAAGUCCUCGGCGACGCACGCCACGACAAUCGGUGGUUGCGAAACCUCGGUUGCCCGUCGUGUGCGUUCGUCGCGCAUCGAGGGCUCGAAAAAAUGCUCGGCUCCGGCUGGGCUUUCAACGCGACCCCAGGUCAGGCGGGGUUACCCGCUGAAUUUAAGCAUAUCAAUAAGCGGAGG
rnacentral:misc_RNA from 1 species